UCGACCUGAAGGACGCAAAGACGCUGGAAUACGCUCGUGAAGACGAAGCACAGACAUUUGCAGAAAAUGAAGUGGACGAGGAAGCAGUAGAGUGUAAUAACGUGAUUGCUGCAAUUGGUGAGGAUGCAUCAUCUUUUGAGGGUAAUGCGAAUGUCCUGCGUAUCCAGUGA